rnacentral:lncRNA from 1 species
AGGAGGACGUGGACGACGAGGAUGACAAUUACGACGGCUAAGUAGACGAGGACGAAGAUAAAACGACGACGAAGACGUGGAUGAUGAAAAGACAACGACGAUGAAGGUAGAAACAGACGUUGUAGGAGAGAGAGAGAGAGAGGGAUUAUAUUGAGUCGUCCCUCUCGCGAGGAGGACCUUAACCCAACUCUACGUACGAAUGAUACAAAACUUGGAUAAAAGGCUACGAGAGAGGAGAGUGUUUCGCGAAUUCACAAAUUCUAAAAUGAAGAGACAACACAGAGAAAGA